UACGAAGGGGGGCUAGCGUUGCUCGGAAUUACUGGGCGUAAAGCGCACGUAGGCGGCUUUCUAAGUCGGGGGUGAAAUCCUGGAGCUCAACUCCAGAACUGCCUUCGAUACUGGAGAGCUCGAGUCCGGGAGAGGUGAGUGGAACUGCGAGUGUAGAGGUGAAAUUCGUAGAUAUUCGCAAGAACACCAGUGGCGAAAGGCGGCUCACUG
rnacentral:rRNA from 1 species